UGCCUUCCCCUUGCAUCCUGGGAGCCCCACU
rnacentral:piRNA from 1 species